CUGUACCCCAACCCCAGCCUGAUGGUUCUGUCUUUCUCUUCAUUUCACUUUCUGGGGCUCCGGUUUGUUUGUUCCUUGUUCCACCUCCAGGAAAUAGGCCUGGCACUUUGGGAAAGUCCCCACUUAGAGGAGAGACCCUGGGCUUUGUUUGCUUGGGGACGGAGGGAGGGAGGAGGGAGCCUGGGUCAGGACCACACCCCCUCUCCUUCCCCUCUGGGUAGGUCUCAUGGCCUGGGACCACCUGGGCUGGUGCUGGAAGGACAGGACAAAUAGGCCACCCAGGGGCUCUGGCAGAGUAGAGAGGACUCUGCAAAACCUAGGUUCUGACUCCCACCGUCUGGAUUUGAAUCCUGAUUCCAUCACGCCCUUUUCUGUGACUUUGAGAAGAUGCCUCAUCUCUCAGAUGCUCUUCAUGAAAUAUGAGAGGAAGAUACCAUCUACCUCCCGGCCUGGUAGAGAGGGUUCGAGACUGACUGCAGGUGUGGAAUGGUCAGUAGGGAACCAAGCACAUAGGAGGCACUUUUGUGUUAGGGCCUUGCCGCUCCCAGCAGGCCUCCUCCAGUAAGGGUGAGGGCAGAGGGGGUGGCAUAAAGGAAGAGGAUCUCAGUAAACAUCCCAGGUGAUUGGGACGGGGAGCACCCAGCUCAAGGGAUGGAAGGUGACAGCUGACUGCAUGUAGAGAAGGCAGCAAGAUUGGAGAACAGGCAGCACGUGGGUACAGCAGCCAGCAGUCAUUCAACAAACCCUUGCUGAUGCUGGCCUGGUGCUGGCUGCUGUGGACUCAGAAAUAAAUCAGCCCUGAGCCUUUCCUUGUGGGUUCCCCAGGCUGGGGUGAUUCAUUCUCUCACAGAAGGGCAAAUAGUGUUUAGGAUGAUGUUGCAAUUUCAGACUCAGUGAACACUGAAAGGGCCCCUAAGGACAGACCUGCCAGUCCUUCAGCUGGUUUAUUUGUGUUUUGCUAACAUUUACAGAGCACAUAUGACAUGCCAUGCAACCCCUGAGUAUGUUAUAUGUGUUGUCUCAUUUUUUCCUCAUUUUAUGAAGAGGAUAUGAGGCCCAGAGAGUGGAAGUGACUGGUCCCAGGUCACACAGCUAGAACAUGGAAGAACUGGGAUUUAAUACAGAAUCUGCCACUGGCCCCCCAGCAAUUCUUUUUCUCCAGACUCAGGCCUCAUGAGAAAACUGGCAAAGACAGGCUGGCUCUUUCCAUGAUGCUAUGAUGUUGAAAGAUCCUGUUUGUCCUAUUUAAGAAGGUGGGAAAGCACCUUUGAACCUCUUUUAAUGGGUUAUUUUGUCAAAUAGUUUUAGAAUGACUCCAUAUAUCCAUAAUUUGUAAAAAUAAUUUUAACUUCAUCUCAAUAAUUUCACAAAAUAUCCCAUCAAAAGAGGUGCAAAGGACUAUGAUUAUUUAUUUAUUGUUGUUACAUGUAUGUGAUACAUCGGUAAUAUAGGGUAUUUGCUUUUUUUUUUUGUUGUUUUUUUAGGGCCAUACCUGAGACUUUAUGGAAGUUCCCAGGCUCGGGGGUAGAAUAGAAGCUACAGCUGCCAGCCUACACCACAUCCACAGCAAUGCUGGAUCUGAGCCACAUCUGCGGCCUACACACUAGCUGAAGGCAACACCGGAUCCUUGACCCACUGAGCCAAACCAGGGAUCAAACCUGUGUACUAGUCGGAUUUGUUUCCACUGCACCACGACAGGAACUCCCAGAAUAUUUCUUUUUUAAAUUCAGAGGAAUGAGUGGUAUUAAUCCAGAAUCAAAAUCAUUAUAUUAAAAUGGGACAUUGGGGAAAUAACUCUUAAAAAAAUAAUAAUAAAAUAAAAUGGGGAGACUAGUUAGCUUCGGUCAUAUACACAAUUUGUAAGAAAUUCUGAGGAUGAAAAGACAUGAGAUCAUGCAUGUUAGGGAAGAAGGUGCAAAUCAUGUCAUAGGUAGAAUUAGAAUAUAUUGAAUCAGUAGAAUCAGUUACUUAUGAUCGUAGUAAAAUUAUUGUCGGGUUAAGAACCCAGCUAGUAUCCAUGAGGAUGCAGGUCAAUCUCUGGCCUUGCUCAGUAGGAUAAGGGUCCCGAGUUGCUGCGAGCUGUGGUGUAGGUCGAAAAUAUGGCUCAGAUCCCACAUUGCUGUGGCUGUGGCAUAGGCUGGCCGGUGCAGCUCCAAUUUGACCCCGAGCCUGGGAACUUCCAUAGGCCAUGGGUUAGGCCCUUAAAAAAAAGAGAAAAAUUGGGGGGGGGGAUGUUUUAAAUGGCACAAUGGAGAAGGCACAUUUUUUGUUUGUUCGUUUGUUUGUUUUUAGGGACUGCAGGUGAGGUAUGUGAAAGUUCCCAGACUAGGGGUCUGAUCAGAGCUGUCGCUGCUGGCCUUCACCACAGCCACAGAAACGCAGGAUCUCAGCCGCAUCUGUGACCUACACCACAGCUCACAGCAAUGCUGGAUCCUUAACCCACUGAGAAGGGCCAGGGAUAGAACCCACAUCCUCAGGGAUACUAGGUGGGUUUGUUUCCACUGAGCCAUGACGGAAACUCCCGACAUACUAGGUUUUAGAUGUAGUUGGCUUUAGUUUUACAAAAGUCCCUCUCAUCCCUGCCAUAUAAAGGAGGUGUUCUUUCUAUGUGAUUCGCCUGUUUCCGCGAAUGAAGGGGGUUGUGCGUGGGUUCCACGUGGUGUCCCUGUUCCCUUUCCACCCCCUAGAACCAAAGGCUGGGAAGUAAAUCCUCCAAGAACAGAGAUGUCUUUCCUUUUCUUCCCUUUUCUUCAGUGCCUGGACCAGUGCCUGGCACCUAGUGUGCCCUCAGUGAAUGUGAGAUGAAUGAAAGAAUGCAUAGAAGAGUGAGCCACCAGGGGAAGGGUGCAGAGCAGAGCAUUUGGGCCCUGUGGGACCUGCACCUGUCUGGGCCUGGAGAUGGGACAGGGACACCCUUAGCUGCGUGGGGAGGCCCGGCCUUCUAGACAAAACCCCCUUCCCUCUGCCCUGCCCCACCUAUUCUGCUCUAGCUACCCAUUCGCCCCACCACCCUGGGGCCACUGUAACCAACCACCUGGCCCCAGAGGCGGGUCUCAGCCCAGCCUCACCCCUCCCAGCCAUUGACCAGAAACAGCAGCAGCCUGCAGUGGAUGGAGACAUUCAGAGAAGCCAACGUGGAAAGGGCACACGGGAGGCGUUCAUUCAGCUCACCUGCUUGUCUUCUGUCCCCCUCUUCCGUUCCUCACCUUCUGGAAGAGUAAAAAGACCAGGCCAAAGCAGCAGGGCCACCUGGUCAAGUCAUCCAUGCCUCUGCCUCCACGCCAGCCCGACCCGACUCCACUCUCAUGUCUGGGCCAGGCCGGACCCCCGCUGGGCCAGGCCCCAGGGAGGUAGCCUUUCAAGGGGAGAGAGGCCCGGGCUGCAGGCCGGGUGGGGGAGCUGCCCAUAAAUCAGGCCCCACUCCCACCCAGUCGCUAACAAGCGGGGCUGGCUACCCGCCUACGUGGGGUCCCUGCCUCUGGGCUCCCACAGCGGCCUGGAACAGCCAGCUGGCCAAGGCCUCCAGAGUGCCUU
rnacentral:lncRNA from 1 species